rfam:Oryza glumipatula chromosome 3, whole genome shotgun sequence.
AAAAAGACAAAUCUCGGGUUUCCAUCUCCAACGUUUAACUGUUCGUCUUAUAUUAAUUUUUUUUAUAAUUAGUAUUUUCAUUGUUAUUAGAUGAUAAAACAUAAAUAAUACUUUAUGCGUAACUUAUCUUUUUAUUUUUUUCAUAUUUUUUUCAAAUAAGACGGACGGUCAAACGUUGGAUAUGGAAACCCAUGAUUUGCCUUUUU